rnacentral:piRNA from 1 species
UGAGGAAAUAGUGCCCCCUGCUGCCCUC